rnacentral:rRNA from 1 species
UCGGUUGAUCCUGCCGGAGGUUACUGCUAUCGGAGUUCGAUUAAGCCAUGCGAGUCUAAAGGUUUCUUCGGAAACCUUGGCGGACUGCUCAGUAACACGUGGAUAACCUACCCUUGGGACUGGAAUAACCCCGGGAAACUGGGGAUAAUACCGGAUAGAUCAGGGAUGCUGGAAUGCACCUUGAUCCAAAGCUCCGGCGCCCAAGGAUGGGUCUGCGGCCUAUCAGGUAGUAGUGGGUGUAACGUACCUACUAGCCAACGACGGGUACGGGUUGCGAGAGCAAGAGCCCGGAGAUGGAUUCUGAGACACGAAUCCAGGCCCUACGGGGUGCAGCAGGCGCGAAACCUUUACAAUGUGCGAAAGCAUGAUAAGGGAACUCCGAGUGCCAGCAUCUAAUGUUGGCUGUCCUUGUGCCUAAAACGCACAAGAUAGCAAGGGCCGGGUAAGACCGGUGCCAGCCGCCGCGGUAACACCGGCGGCCCGAGUGGUAGCCGCUAUUAUUGGGUCUAAAGGGUCCGUAGCCGGUUCGAUAAGUCCUCUGGGAAAUCUGGUUGCUUAACAAUCAGACUGCCAAGGGAUACUGUCGAACUUGAGACCGGGAGAGGUAAGAGGUACUUCAGGGGUAGGAGUGAAAUCUUGUAAUCCCUGGGGGANCAUCUGUGGCGAANGCGUCUUACCAGAACGGGUCUGACGGUGAGGGACGAANNNUGGGGGCGCAAACCGGAUUANAUACCCGGGUAGUCCCAGCCGUAAACGAUGCUUGCUAUGUGUCNNNACGGUGUGACCGUAUCUGGUGCCGUAGGGAANCCGUGAAGCGAGCCACCUGGGAANUAC